rnacentral:tRNA from 1 species
GGGCCUGUGGUUUAGUGGUAUAAUACUCCCUUAGCAUGGGAGUGGUCCAGGGUUCGAUUCCCUGCAAGUCCA